AGCACAGCCACCGCGCCCUCCAAGGACACCAAGAAUGGAAUAUAAAUGGCUCAGAAGAAGCUUAACCAUCAAUAAAUGUGGAGUUGAAAAAUGCAAUGGACAUAUUCUCUAGAAAAACUGCAAAUAUUAUUGAUAUUUUCUUGCUUGCCUGCUUUCUGUAUUAUAUUCUCAUGUACAUCUUGAAUUAAUGUUCCAAGUAAUAAAGAAGAAAGGUAAAGAUGGCAACGUAAUUAUGACCAAGUUCUGUUCAGAGCCCUCGAAGAUCAAUUUACUUUUUUUGCUCUUAAGUACAGUACUUUAAUAUGAGCUUUAGUGAGCAUAUUUAUAUUCAUUUUGAGGCGGUCAUACAAUGAAAUUAAAAAUCAUUCUCCAUUCAGUGACUUUUAAUUUAGAUUUUGCAUACCAAUUACAACUCUGCCUCUGCCCCCGCCCCCCA
rnacentral:lncRNA from 1 species